rnacentral:rRNA from 1 species
CAUAGGUUAAUGAGGCGAACCGGGGGAACUGAAACAUCUAAGUACCCCGAGGAAAAGAAAUCAACCGAGAUUCCCCCAGUAGCGGCGAGCGAACGGGGAGCAGCCCAGAGCCUGAAUCAGUGUGUGUGUUAGUGGAAGCGUCUGGAAAGGCGCGCGAUACAGGGUGACAGCCCCGUACACAAAAAUGCACAUGCUGUGAGCUCGAUGAGUAGGGCGGGACACGUGGUAUCCUGUCUGAAUAUGGGGGGACCAUCCUCCAAGGCUAAAUACUCCUGACUGACCGAUAGUGAACCAGUACCGUGAGGGAAAGGCGAAAAGAACCCCGGCGAGGGGAGUGAAAAAGAACCUGAAACCGUGUACGUACAAGCAGUGGGAGCACGCUUAGGCGUGUGACUGCGUACCUUUUGUAUAAUGGGUCAGCGACUUAUAUUCUGUAGCAAGGUUAACCGAAUAGGGGAGCCGAAGGGAAACCGAGUCUUAACUGGGCGUUAAGUUGCAGGGUAUAGACCCGAAACCCGGUGAUCUAGCCAUGGGCAGGUUGAAGGUUGGGUAACACUAACUGGAGGACCGAACCGACUAAUGUUGAAAAAUUAGCGGAUGACUUGUGGCUGGGGGUGAAAGGCCAAUCAAACCGGGAGAUAGCUGGUUCUCCCCGAAAGCUAUUUAGGUAGCGCCUCGUGAAUUCAUCUCCGGGGGUAGAGCACUGUUUCGGCAAGGGGGUCAUCCCGACUUACCAACCCGAUGCAAACUGCGAAUACCGGAGAAUGUUAUCACGGGAGACACACGGCGGGUGCUAACGUCCGUCGUGAAGAGGGAAACAACCCAGACCGCCAGCUAAGGUCCCAAAGUCAUGGUUAAGUGGGAAACGAUGUGGGAAGGCCCAGACAGCCAGGAUGUUGGCUUAGAAGCAGCCAUCAUUUAAAGAAAGCGUAAUAGCUCACUGGUCGAGUCGGCCUGCGCGGAAGAUGUAACGGGGCUAAACCAUGCACCGAAGCUGCGGCAGCGACGCUGAUGCGUUGUUGGGUAGGGGAGCGUUCUGUAAGCCUGUGAAGGUGUGCUGUGAGGCAUGCUGGAGGUAUCAGAAGUGCGAAUGCUGACAUAAGUAACGAUAAAGCGGGUGAAAAGCCCGCUCGCCGGAAGACCAAGGGUUCCUGUCCAACGUUAAUCGGGGCAGGGUGAGUCGACCCCUAAGGCGAGGCCGAAAGGCGUAGUCGAUGGGAAACAGGUUAAUAUUCCUGUACUUGGUGUUACUGCGAAGGGGGGACGGAGAAGGCUAUGUUGGCCGGGCGACGGUUGUCCCGGUUUAAGCGUGUAGGCUGGUUUUCCAGGCAAAUCCGGAAAAUCAAGGCUGAGGCGUGAUGACGAGGCACUACGGUGCUGAAGCAACAAAUGCCCUGCUUCCAGGAAAAGCCUCUAAGCAUCAGGUAACAUCAAAUCGUACCCCAAACCGACACAGGUGGUCAGGUAGAGAAUACCAAGGCGCUUGAGAGAACUCGGGUGAAGGAACUAGGCAAAAUGGUGCCGUAACUUCGGGAGAAGGCACGCUGAUAUGUAGGUGAAGUCCCUCGCGGAUGGAGCUGAAAUCAGUCGAAGAUACCAGCUGGCUGCAACUGUUUAUUAAAAACACAGCACUGUGCAAACACGAAAGUGGACGUAUACGGUGUGACGCCUGCCCGGUGC